ACCUCGGUGGUGUAGUGGUAGCACGCGUCCCUUGUAUGUAUGAAACACGGGUUUGACUUCCGUGUGAGGUC